GAUCAGUUCCCCCCCCAGUCCAUGUAGUUAUGGAUCAGUCCCCUCCCCCAGUCCAUAUAGUUAUAGAUCAGUCCCCCCAGUCCAUAUAGUUAUAGAUUAGUCCCCACCCCCCAGUCCAUAUAGUUAUAGAUCAGUCCCCCCCCAGUCCAUAUAGUUAUAGAUCAGUCCCCACCCCCAGUCCAUAUAGUUAUAGAUCAGCCCCCCACCCCCCAGUCCAUAUAGUUAUAGAUCAGCCCCCCAGUCCAUAUAGUUAUAGAUCAGUCCCCCCCAGUCCAUAUAGUUAUAGAUCAGUCCCCCCCCCCAGUCCAUAUAGUUAUAGAUCAGUCCCCCCCCCCAUCCAUAUAGUUAUGAUCUUGCAGGCUGAUCCAGGAUCAGCACUCCUCCUCUGAAAGGCUUUGUGAAUAUGGGCCCCAAUGUGUAUCAAAACAGUUUCCUGUUUUUUUUGUGUUUUUUUUUUGUGGGAUUUGGAUGUGUUUUAAUUUAUCUAGAGAAGAGAAACUUUAGUCUGAAGAGAUUUACAAGGAGAAAAUAAUAAAUUUGAGUUUUAUUAGAAGUUACAUUUUUUUUGGUGUCUUUUGUU
ensembl:lncRNA